CAUUUUUAUCUCUUAGUAGUAAUAUUUAAAAAAAGCUAGAUCUGAUUGUGAGCUUUCUAAUAAGCUAUAGCAUAUAAAAAAUGGAAUUGUGAAGAGGGAGAUUCAAUCAAAUUUGUAGAAGGAGGUUGCUAGAGUUUUUGGACAACAAAUUUCAAGGCUCCUUUGGAAUUUUCUAUGUUAUUUAUUGGACUUUAAAAAAAAAAAAAAUUCUCAAUGAAUUAAAAUUUAGUUAGAUUGAGUUAUUAAUAAGUAAAUUAUAGAUAUUUUAGUGAAAGGAGGUUUGGAUUUGAGAUUGGAAUUAAGAAUUGGAUGCAUCUUAGUACAAGAAAGAAAUUAAUCUAUAAAUUGUAACUAGCUUUUGAGCUACUUUUUAUAUUUGAUUUCAUUUGAGAUAACAUUUUACCUUCUUGUAACCUACUUGUAAUCAAAGACCUUGUGUUUUCCUGAGGAGGCUUAUGCUCUUUACAAAAAUUUGGAACUUCUACUAAAAGCAUCAU
rnacentral:lncRNA from 1 species